AUGCGCUCCUCUUGAAUGGAAGUUCUCUCAGGUCUUCGGUGAACGAGUUGCCGGAGAGGAUAUUCAGGAUGUUGAUAUCAUAUCAGCGAUUGGAUUCGAUAAGACUGGUGACAACCUUGCCAUUGGGGACCGAGGUGGUCGUGUUAUUAUAUUUGAGAGAAGGGACGGGAAGGAUACUUCAAAAGACUACCCUACACGGAAUAAGUUGGAGCAGUUGAAUCUUACUCCCGCAUGUCAUCCUGAAUACCAAUACAAGACUGAAUUUCAGAG
rnacentral:misc_RNA from 1 species